rnacentral:rRNA from 1 species
UACAGAGGUCUCAAGCGUUGUUCGGAUUCAUUGGGCGUAAAGGGCGCGUAGGCGGCGGGGUAAGUCGGGUGUGAAAUCUCAGAGCUCAACUCUGAAAUGGCACUUGAUACUGCUCUGCUAGAGGACUGGAGAGGAGAUUGGAAUUCACGGUGUAGCAGUGAAAUGCGUAGAUAUCGUGAGGAAGACCGGUGGCGAAGGCGGAUCUCUGGACAGUUCCUGACGCUGAGGCACGAAGGUCAGGGGAGCAAACGGG